GGCGUCUAGUCGCUGGGAAUAGACCCGAAACCGGGCGAUCUAUCCAUGGGCAGGUUGAAGGUUGGGUAACACUAACUGGAGGACCGAACCGACUACCGUUGAAAGUUAGCGGAUGACCUGUGGAUCGGAGUGAAAGGCUAAUCAAGCUCGGAGAUAGCUGGUUCUCCUCGAAAGCUAUUUAGGUAGCGCCUCAUGUAUCACUGUAGGGGGUAGAGCACUGUUUCGGCUAGGGGGUCAUCCCGACUUACCAAACCGAUGCAAACUCCGAAUACCUACAAGUGCCGAGCAUGGGAGACACACGGCGGGUGCUAACGUCCGUCGUGAAAAGGGAAACAACCCAGACCGUCAGCUAAGGUCCCAAAGUUAUGGUUAAGUGGGAAACGAUGUGGGAAGGCUUAGACAGCUAGGAGGUUGGCUUAGAAGCAGCCACCCUUUAAAGAAAGCGUAAUAGCUCACUAGUCGAGUCGGCCUGCGCGGAAGAUUUAACGGGGCUCAAAACCAUACACCGAAGCUACGGGUAUCACUUAGGUGAUGCGGUAGAGGAGCGUUCUGUAAGCCUGUGAAGGUGAGUUGAGAAGCUUGCUGGAGGUAUCAGAAGUGCGAAUGCUGACAUGAGUAACGAUAAUGGGUGUGAAAAACACCCACGCCGAAAGACCAAGGUUUCCUGCGCAACGUUAAUCGACGCAGGGUUAGUCGGUCCCUAAGGCGAGGCUGAAAAGCGUAGUCGAUGGAAAACAGGUUAAUAUUCCUGUACUUCUGGUUAUUGCGAUGGAGGGACGGAGAAGGCUAGGCCAGCUUGGCGUUGGUUGUCCAAGUUUAAGGUGGUAGGCUGGAAUCUUAGGUAAAUCCGGGAUUCUAAGGCCGAGAGCUGAUGACGAGUUGUCUUUUAGACAACGAAGUGGUUGAUGCCAUGCUUCCAAGAAAAGCUUCUAAGCUUCAGGUAACCAGGAACCGUACCCCAAACCGACACAGGUGGUUGGGUAGAGAAUACCAAGGCGCUUGAGAGAACUCGGGUGAAGGAACUAGGCAAAAUGGCACCGUAACUUCGGGAGAAGGUGCGCCGGUGAGGGUGAAGCAUUUACUGCGUAAGCCCAUGCCGGUCGAAGAUACCAGGCCGCUGCGACUGUUUAUUAAAAACACAGCACUCUGCAAACACGAAAGUGGACGUAUAGGGUGUGACGCCUGCCCGGUGCCGGAAGGUUAAUUGAUGGGGUUAGCUAACGCGAAGCUCUUGAUCGAAGCCCCGGUAAACGGCGGCCGUAACUAUAACGGUCCUAAGGUAGCGAAAUUCCUUGUCGGGUAAGUUCCGACCUGCACGAAUGGCGUAACGAUGGCGGCGCUGUCUCCACCCGAGACUCAGUGAAAUUGAAAUCGCUGUGAAGAUGCAGUGUAUCCGCGGCUAGACGGAAAGACCCCGUGAACCUUUACUAUAGCUUUGCACUGGACUUUGAAUUUGCUUGUGUAGGAUAGGUGGGAGGCUUUGAAGUGUGGACGCCAGUCUGCAUGGAGCCAACCUUGAAAUACCACCCUGGCAACUUUGAGGUUCUAACUCAGGUCCGUUAUCCGGAUCGAGGACAGUGUAUGGUGGGUAGUUUGACUGGGGCGGUCUCCUCCUAAAGAGUAACGGAGGAGUACGAAGGUGCGCUCAGACCGGUCGGAAAUCGGUCGUAGAGUAUAAAGGCAAAAGCGCGCUUGACUGCGAGACAGACACGUCGAGCAGGUACGAAAGUAGGUCUUAGUGAUCCGGUGGUUCUGUAUGGAAGGGCCAUCGCUCAACGGAUAAAAGGUACUCCGGGAUAACAGGCUGAUACCGCCCAAGAGUUCAUAUCGACGGCGGUGUUUGGCACCUCGAUGUCGGCUCAUCACAUCCUGGGGCUGAAGCCGGUCCCAAGGGUAUGGCUGUUCGCCAUUUAAAGUGGUACGCGAGCUGGGUUUAGAACGUCGUGAGACAGUUCGGUCCCUAUCUGCCGUGGACGUUUGAGAUUUGAGAGGGGCUGCUCCUAGUACGAGAGGACCGGAGUGGACGAACCUCUGGUGUUCCGGUUGUCACGCCAGUGGCAUUGCCGGGUAGCUAUGUUCGGGAAAGAUAACCGCUGAAAGCAUCUAAGCGGGAAACUUGCCUCAAGAUGAGAUCUCACUGGAACCUUGAGUUCCCUAAAGGGCCGUCGAAGACUACGACGUUGAUAGGUUGGGUGUGUAAGCGCUGUGAGGCGUUGAGCUAACCAAUACUAAUUGCCCGUGAGGCUUGACCAUA
rnacentral:rRNA from 1 species